UACGUAGGGUGCAAGCGUUGUCCGGAAUUAUUGGGCGUAAAGAGCUCGUAGGCGGUCUGUCACGUCGGCUGUGAAAUCCCGAGGCUCAACCUCGGGUCUGCAGUCGAUACGGGCAAACUAGAGUAUUGCAGGGGAGACUGGAAUUCCUGGUGUAGCGGUGAAAUGCGCAGAUAUCAGGAGGAACACCGGUGGCGAAGGCGGGUCUCUGGGCCGUAACUGACGCUGGAGGAGCGAAAGCGUGGGGGAGCGAACAGG
rnacentral:rRNA from 1 species